rnacentral:lncRNA from 1 species
CAGGAAGCCCCGCCAGCGGCCUCCGAGGGCCCCGCAGGGCGAGCCACAAGGCCGAGCAGGUCCAGGUGUCUGCUGAUCCAGGCUAUUUGGACACCCUGACUCAGGUUCUGGGGACCCUCCCACCCCCCCAAGGGGGCAGAAUGGAGUUAGAGGAGGGUUACAAUGGAAGUUCAGCCCUGGGAGCUCAAGGGGGCGCGGCUAUGUCCAUCAUUGGUGCAGAAGAUGAGGAUUUUGAAAAUGACAUUGAACCUUUCCAGCAUCCGGACACUCAAACCAGUUUGUUCCAAAACCUGGAGAUCUUGAUGAAGCAUCCUGCCUACCUGAUGGUUUUUAUACAACAUGUGGUGUUGCAGUUUGACUCAAGCCCUGUGGUGAGCUGACACAUCCUUGUGUGUGUGUGUUUUUUUACUGCAACUGCCUUAACUCUGUUCCUCUUCUGCACAACUUCCCUCCGCCCCCGCCCCCCCGUAACCUAGAAACUAACCGCCAUGAAAUGCCACACCCUCUCUCUACUGAA